CACGUAGGGGGCAAGCGUUGUCCGGAUUUAUUGGGCGUAAAGAGCUCGUAGGCGGCUUAGUAAGUCGGGUGUGAAACCUCCAGGCUCAACCUGGAGACGCCACCCGAUACUGCUGUGGCUAGAGUCCGGUAGGGGAGCGUGGAAUUCCUGGUGUAGCGGUGAAAUGCGCAGAUAUCAGGAGGAACACCAGUAGCGAAGGCGGCACUCUGGGCCGUGACUGACGCUGAGGAGCGAAAGCGUGGGUAGCAAACAGG
rnacentral:rRNA from 1 species